rnacentral:lncRNA from 10 species
CGUUUACUCAGCCCACAGCUCUCAACUCCUCAUAGGAGGGAGUGAGCAAGCCAACAAGGCGGGAACUGGAAUACACGAGUGCUAGAAUCAGCUGGCUACUUCAUAGCUGGCAAGAGCAAACUCCACUCACUCAGACCCGCUGCUUUCCACCCCUCGUCGGACAGGGCACACAGGGUAACCAAAGAAUCUGACCCAUAGGGUUUCUAACUCACAAAAG